UAAAUGUCCUUAGCAUGCUUGCUAAAUAUGAUUCUUCUGCUACUCUUUGAUGUUCUUAUGCUGAUGCAUGCUAAUUUCAAGAUGAAAAAACUAUACAUCUGAAAGAACAGUUUCGUGCUGAAAUAAGAAAGGAACUUGACAAGAUAGAAAUGAGAUACAGGGACAUGGCUUCUCUUUUGCGUGGAUUAGGCAUACGUGUUGAAGGGGGUGCUUUUCCCUUGUCAUGUGAGUUAGGACAGUGCUCGUGUCUGGAUAGUUAGUGAUCAAAGGUAAGAUUUUGGUGAUCUUGGUGACAUUCCUGGUCAUUAUGUUGCAGCAAACCUCACAUUAUUUGGACACAAUGCUAGAAUCUGGGACUGCUAUAUCUCUGAUUCCAAGGAGAUGAAACGAUGAUUUGAGGAGAUAUCUGAGAACGAGCGUACACGAGAACUAAAAGAUCGUAUCUUUGUGGAGGUGAUGAAAAAAGAUGGACAUGGACGGAUGUGUACUUGGAGUUCGAGCAUGACAAAACGGCGUUUGCAUCAGCAAUCUUAUCAGGCACCAUCAGAGGAGACCAUUAGGAGGAUUCAGGAUGAGCUUCGGAUUGAGUUUGAUGACAAGAUUUUUUACUUGGAGGCACAGCUCCAUCAGAUGCAUGCUCAGAUGGCGAGUGGAUGUU